GAGUUUGAUCCUGGCUCAGAACGAACGCUGGCGGCGGCUUAACACAUGCAAGUCGAACGCGUGUAGCAAUACACGAGUGGCGCACGGGUGAGUAACGCGUGGAUAUCUGCCUUUUGGUUCGGAAUAACCUUGGGAAACCGAGGCUAAUACCGGAUGGUUCCUACGGGAUAAAGAUUUAUCGCCAAAAGAUGAGUCCGCGUCCGAUUAGCUAGUUGGUGAGGUAACGGCUCACCAAGGCGACGAUCGGUAGCUGGUCUGAGAGGACGAUCAGCCACACUGGGACUGAGACACGGCCCAGACUCCUACGGGAGGCAGCAGUGGGGAAUAUUGGACAAUGGGGGCAACCCUGAUCCAGCCAUGCCGCGUGAGUGAUGAAGGCCUUCGGGUUGUAAAGCUCUUUUGGCGGGGACGAUGAUGACGGUACCCGCAGAAUAAGCCCCGGCUAACUUCGUGCCAGCAGCCGCGGUAAG
rnacentral:rRNA from 1 species